CCUACGGGGAGCAGCAGUGGGGAAUAUUGGACAAUGGGCGAAAGCCUGAUCCAGCCAUGCCGCGUGUGUGAAGAAGGCCUUCGGGUUGUAAAGCACUUUCAGUGGGGAAGAAAGCCUUGGGGCUAAUACCCUCGAGGAAGGACAUCACCCACAGAAGAAGCACCGGCUAACUCCGUGCCAGCAGCCGCGGUAAUACGGAGGGUGCGAGCGUUAAUCGGAAUUACUGGGCGUAAAGCGCGCGUAGGCGGUCUGAUAAGCCGGUUGUGAAAGCCCCGGGCUCAACCUGGGAACGGCAUCCGGAACUGUCAGGCUAGAGUGCAGGCGAGGAAGGUAGAAUUCCCGGUGUAGCGGUGAAAUGCGUAGAGAUCGGGAGGAAUACCAGUGGCGAAGGCGGCCUUCUGGACUGACACUGACGCUGAGGUGCGAAAGCGUGGGUAGCAAACAGGAUUAGAUACCCGGGUAGUC
rnacentral:rRNA from 1 species